UCGAUUUAGCGGACGACGUCGAUCGAUGACUGGAGUAAUCCGUUCAUCGAUCUUCGUCAUGGUCUGUCGAUCGAUGCGAGUUCAUCGACAUCGAUCGACACCAUUGAGAUCCGCCGAGACUCAUGGAGCUUUCGAUUUCAAAGUUUCCUUCCUCAAGCUUUUCAUUUCUCACCACUUGCCAGAAAUCAUCAUCUAUGAUGGCAUUUACGUGGUGUUUCCCUUUGUCGGCUGCUGCCUCUCUAGUGAAAGCUUCUUACCUUUUUAUAGUCUCGCCAGUC
rnacentral:lncRNA from 1 species